AUUGAACGCUGGCGGCAGGCCUAACACAUGCAAGUCGAACGAGUGGCGGACGGGUGAGUAAUGUCUGGGAAACUGCCUGAUGGAGGGGGAUAACUACUGUAAACGGUAACUAAUACCGCAUAACAUCGACUGGUCCCAGAUGGGAUUAGCUAUUAGGUGGGGUAAAGGCUAACUAAGGCGACUCUCCAUAGCUGGUAUGAGAGGAGGACCAGCCACACUGGAACUGAGACACGGUCCAGACGCCUACGGGAGGCAGCAGUGGGGAAGAUUACACAAUGGGCGCAAGCCUGACGCAGCCAUGCCGCGUGUAUGAAGAAGGCCUUCGGGUUGUAAAGUACUGUCAGCGGGGAGGCGUUACCCGCAGAAGAAGCAACGGCUAACUCCGUGCCAGCAGCCGCGGUAAUUC
rnacentral:rRNA from 1 species